rnacentral:sRNA from 1 species
UGCUUGCGUUAGCGAUUAUAGAGGAAAUCCUUUUUAAAACUCUUCGUCAUUGCGAAACAUUUAUAAAAUGUUGUGGUAAUCUGUUUAAUAAGAUUACCACCUCGCUUUGCUUCUCGUAAUGACGAUAAAUGAGAAUAAUUAGUUUUAAAAAGAUUGGAACGGAAAGCGCGACCCUUG